AGGUCAGCAACAUAGCAGCGGUGGUGCUAUAGACUCUGACUACUGAAUAAACCACAUUUCUCCUAUGCUGCCACCUAGAGACAUCUCCUAAGAUAACACAGCAUUCUCAAUGACAUGAUCACACAUCUGGAUCUGUGAGACACAUGGAGUUUAAAGCAUCCACAGUCCGCCAUAUUGAUUGUGGCAACUCUGCCACGUGAACUAAUACAAGUCAAUGGAGUGAACUUUAUAAAGCUCCUUUUACAAAGUGCUAUAACUUAAUGCCUCUCAUUUACACAUUUACACACGUACGAAUAUUUUUGGGAAACAGAUAAGUACCAAAAACAACGUCUGUUACAUUCUCUAAUGAUUAGAACGAUAACUACUCCUUAUAUGUUUAGUCUACAGGUAGGCACCAAACCCACAGAUGUAUUUUUCUAAUGUUUACAUUUACAUUUACAUUAAGGGCAUUUAUCAGGCGCUUUUGUCCAAAGCAACUUAUAAUAAGUGCAUUUGUCACAAGAGAGAAACCACGACAUCACCGUCGAGGGAGCAAAAAGAGAAAUAUAGAAACAAUUGUCAAGCCCUCAUCUGAGGAUCAUAACUGCUAUUUGUCAAAGAUUCUUUAAGCGCACAAGUGCUAUGCACGUGACUUAUAAGCAAUUGGUCAUAUAUCAUAUCAGCCUGUAACACAGGGAGCUCAUUAUUUCAAGCACCCAGUGGUCACCUACAGCAACCUAUAGUAACAGUAGCUUCAUGAGACUUACCCACAGUCAGGCUAUGCCAGUGAAUGUAAUGCUCUUACUGUGAUGAUACAUGACAUUUAAAUACUAAAUCUGUGUCUAUAAUAACCAGAAUUGUCGAUCUAAAUGUGUGUGUUUCCUCACAACGUAUGGAACUAUUUCGCCAAUCAACACCGAGAAAGGAUCGAAUGUGACCCUUCAGUGUCGUCUGGAUCCCGAGGUCAACUUGGUGCAUUAUGCAUCUGUCUGGUACAGAGCUGAUCUCUUUAGGUUCGUUCACAUCUAUCCAUACACAUGUGAUGAUGAUCUGUACAGAGGCAGGACCACUCUGGUCCAUGAAGACCUGAGCAGAGGAGUCCUGACCCUGCAGAUCUCCUCAGUCCAGCUGUCUGACGCUGGGCCGUACAGAUGUGUGGUCCCAAGUUUGAGGGCAGUUUGCACCAUUAACCUCACUGUUGGAAAGAGAGAAACACCCAGCACAACCGGACCUCCACUGGACCCUGUGACCGAGCAAGACGACCCGGGUAAAUAACUCUGAGUCGUUGGUUUUUAGAUUCUGUUGACAUUUUCAUUUCAUGUGAAAAAUAUAUCUGCUCUCUUCUUCUCUGUCUCCUCUGCAGUUAACUCCAACGUCCUUGUCAAUGAGGAGAAGGAGAAGAAGGAGGAGGAGGAGAGACCUGCAGGAAACCAUUUCCGUAACAUCGUCUGAGAGGUGAAGUGAUGGAGGGCAGUCUGUCGACGACCAUGAGGCACAAAAUGAUUUUCUAAAUGCCAAAAAUAACCAAAAUGUCAACUUGUAUAAUCUAAAUAAUCUGUUUAACUGGAGAUGUGUUGUAAUGACAUUGCUGCAGACUGAAUCAUCUCAACAUCCACUGGAUGGACGUUCAUGUUUCACCUCAGGAUAAAUUAUAAUGGCUGCAUCCGAAAUUCCAUACUAACAUGCUACUGAGUAUGCUAAAACAAUAUGUGAGAUUUUUUAGUAUGUCCGAAACCUUAGUAUGC
rnacentral:lncRNA from 1 species